GUAACCCUACGGGGGGCAGCAGUCGGGAAUAUUGCGCAAUGGAGGAAACUCUGACGCAGUGACGCCGCGUGCAGGAAGAAGGUUUUCGGAUUGUAAACUGCUUUAGACAGGGAAGAACAAAGACAGUACCUGUAGAAUAAGCUCCGGUUAACUACGUGCCAGCAGCCGCGGUAAUACGUAGGGAGCAAGCGUUAUCCGGAUUUAUUGGGUGUAAUGUGUGCGUAGACGGGAAUGCAUGUUGGUUGUGAAAUCCCUCGGCUUAACUGAGGAACUGCAACCAAAACUACAUUUCUUGAGUUCU
rnacentral:rRNA from 1 species